CCUACGGGGGGCUGCAGUGGGGAAUAUUGCACAAUGGGCGCAAGCCUGAUGCAGCCAUGCCGCGUGUGUGAAGAAGGCCUUCGGGUUGUAAAGCACUUUCAGCGGGGAGGAAGGCGUUAAGGUUAAUAACCUUGGCGAUUGACGUUACCCGCAGAAGAAGCACCGGCUAACUCCGUGCCAGCAGCCGCGGUAAUACGGAGGGUGCAAGCGUUAAUCGGAAUUACUGGGCGUAAAGCGCACGCAGGCGGUCUGUCAAGUCGGAUGUGAAAUCCCCGGGCUCAACCUGGGAACUGCAUUCGAAACUGGCAGGCUAGAGUCUUGUAGAGGGGAGUAGAAUUCCAGGUGUAGCGGUGAAAUGCGUAGAGAUCUGGAGGAAUACCGGUGGCGAAGGCGGCCCCCUGGACAAAGACUGACGCUCAGGUGCGAAAGCGUGGGGAGCAAACAGGAUUAGAUACCCCUGUAGUC
rnacentral:rRNA from 1 species